rnacentral:ribozyme from 17 species
UAUGCCGAAAGAAAGAAAGAAAGAAAGAAAGAAAAAAAAAAAC